GGCCCUACGGGAGGCAGCAGUGGGGAAUAUUGGGCAAUGGGCGCAAGCCUGACCCAGCAACGCCGCGUGAAGGAAGAAGGCUUUCGGGUUGUAAACUUCUUUUCUGGGGGACGAACAAAUGACGGUACCCCAGGAAUAAGCCACGGCUAACUACGUGCCAGCAGCCGCGGUAAUACGUAGGGAGCAAGCGUUGUCCGGAAUUACUGGGUGUAAAGGGAGCGUAGGCGGGGAUGCAAGUUGGGGGUCAAAACUACCGGCUCAACCGAUAGUC
rnacentral:rRNA from 1 species